CACGUAGGGUGCGAGCGUUGUCCGGAAUUAUUGGGCGUAAAGGGCUCGUAGGCGGUUUGUCACGUCGGGAGUGAAAACUCGGGGCUUAACCCCGGGCCUGCAGUGGGUACGGGCAGACUAGAGUGCGGUAGGGGAGACUGGAAUUCCUGGUGUAGCGGUGAAAUGCGCAGAUAUCAGGAGGAACACCGGUGGCGAAGGCGGGUCUCUGGGCCGUAACUGACGCUGAGGAGCGAAAGCAUGGGGAGCGAACAGG
rnacentral:rRNA from 1 species